GAUGAACGCUGGCGGCGUGCCUAACACAUGCAAGUCGAACGGAGUCGUUUUGGAAAUCUCUUCGGAGAUGGAAUUCUCGACUUAGUGGCGGACGGGUGAGUAACGCGUGAGCAAUCUGCCUUUAAGAGGGGGAUAACAGUCGGAAACGGCUGCUAAUACCGCAUAAAGCAUUAAAUUCGCAUGUUUUUGAUGCCAAAGGAGCAAUCCGCUUUUAGAUGAGCUCGCGUCUGAUUAGCUAGUUGGCGGGGUAACGGCCCACCAAGGCGACGAUCAGUAGCCGGACUGAGAGGUUGAACGGCCACAUUGGGACUGAGACACAGCCGAGACUACUACGGGAGGCAGCAGUGGGGAAUAUUGCGCCAUGGGGGAAACACUGACGAAGCAACGCCGCGUGAUUGAAGAAGGCCUUCGGGUUGUAAAGAUCUUUAAUCAGGGACGAAACAAAUGACGGUACCUGAAGAAUAAGCUCCGGCUAACUACGUG
rnacentral:rRNA from 1 species